UACGUAGGUGGCAAGCGUUAUCCGGAAUUAUUGGGCGUAAAGAGCGCGCAGGUGGUUAAUUAAGUCUGAUGUGAAAGCCCACGGCUUAACCGUGGAGGGUCAUUGGAAACUGGUUGACUUGAGUGCAGAAGAGGGAAGUGGAAUUCCAUGUGUAGCGGUGAAAUGCGUAGAGAUAUGGAGGAACACCAGUGGCGAAGGCGGCUUCCUGGUCAGAAACUGACACUGAGGCUCGAAAGCGUGGGGAGCAAAUAGG
rnacentral:rRNA from 1 species